GAUGAACGCUAGCUGGAGGCUUAAUACAUGCAAGUCGAGCGGGAUUGGGUAGCAAUACCCAUGAGAGCGGCGCACGGGUGAGUAACGCGUACACGACCUACCUCUGACAGGGGGAUAGCCCUGGGAAACUGGGAUUAAUACCGCAUAUUAUUCUGAAUAAUAAAGGUUUGGAAUGAAAGCUGAGGCGGUCAGAGAUGGGUGUGCGUCUGAUUAGCUAGUUGGUAGGGUAACGGCCUACCAAGGCGAUGAUCAGUAGGGGGCGUGAGAGCGUGGUCCCCCCACACGGGUACUGAGACACGGACCCGACUCCUACGGGAGGCAGCAGUAAGGAAUAUUGGUCAAUGGGCGAAAGCCUGAACCAGCCAUCCAGCGUGCAGGAAGAAGGCCCUAUGGGUUGUAAACUGCUUUUAUCAGGGAAGAAACCUCUGGAUUUACUCCGGAGCUGACGGUACCUGAAGAAUAAGCACCGGCUAACUCCGUGCCAGCAGCCGCGGU
rnacentral:rRNA from 1 species